GACGAACGCUGGCGGCGUGCUUAACACAUGCAAGUCGAACGGAAAGGCCCUGCUUUUGUGGGGUGCUCGAGUGGCGAACGGGUGAGUAACACGUGAGUAACCUGCCCUUGACUUUGGGAUAACUUCAGGAAACUGGGGCUAAUACCGGAUAGGAGCUCCUGCUGCAUGGUGGGGGUUGGAAAGUUUCGGCGGUUGGGGAUGGACUCGCGGCUUAUCAACUUGUUGGUGGGGUAGUGGCUUACCAAGGCUUUGACGGGUAGCCGGCCUGAGAGGGUGACCGGCCACAUUGGGACUGAGAUACGGCACAGACUCCUACGGGAGGCAGCAGUGGGGAAUAUUGCACAAUGGGCGGAAGCCUGAUGCAGCAACGCCGCGUGCGGGAUGACGGCCUUCGGGUUGUAAGCCGCUUUCGCCUGUGACGAAGCGUGAGUGACGGUAAUGGGUAAAGAAGCACCGGCUAACUACGUG
rnacentral:rRNA from 1 species